AUGGGAGAACACUGGCACAUCCCUGAGGUACGGUCGUUCAGGAGGAUGGGGUCGGAGUGGCUUGCCCAAAGCCUCUGCGAUCUCCCGGACCGGGAGCGGCUGGAGAUGAUGAUGCUGCUAUGGCGCUGUUGGCAUGUCCAGAAUGAAGUCACGCACGACAAGACGCCGGCCCCUGUCGAGGUUUCUUGCCGCUUCCUGUUGAGCUACGUGGAGUCCAUCAUCGGCUCGCAGAACCGGCCGGAGGCUGACCCGGUGAAGGGUAAGCAAGCGGUGGAGUUGCUGCACACGACAUCGCCUACUAGGACGCCGACGAGCAUCCCGCCCCCUGCCAGAUGGUCACCUCCCCCGACGGGUUGGGCCAAACUCAAUGUUGAUGGGUCCUUUUGCCCCUUGACGGGAUCGGCUGGAGCGGGCAUGGUGCUUCGGGACAGCUCGGGCACGAUCAUCUUCUCAUCAUGCCGCCAACUUCGGACUUGUGCGGAUGCACUGGAGGCGGAGUUGUCCGCGUGUAUGGAGGGUUUAAACCUGGCACUUCAAUGGACACCUCUGCCGGUGGAGAUCGAGACUGAUUGUCUAGUUGGCUUCAAUAUGUUGAGGGGUAACAGUGUUGACCGCUCCCGUUAUGCUAUGUUGAUAGAUCAGACCAAACGCCUCAUGAUGGAAGGACGAGAAGUGAGACUAGCUCACGUCCCUCGUGAUCAAAAUAAAGUUAGUCAUUUGCUUGCAAACUUUGGUAGAGUAGAAGAGCGCACUGCUGUGUGGCUCGGUUCUGGUCCAGGCGAUGUGCCUGAUCUUUGUAAGCAAGACUAUCAGUCAGGGUAA
rnacentral:rRNA from 1 species